rnacentral:snoRNA from 1 species
UGGGAGGCUGAUUCACAAGCUGGGCUGAAGUACUGCUCUGUUUGUCACUACACCUCCCUAGAACAAACUGCCCUUCGAUGAGCGGGGACAAAUUUGAGAGAAACUGUUACGGACAGAUACUGGGGCAGACAGUU